GUACAAUGGCACGGUUGUUCUUGCUGACCACACAUCUGUUUAUACAGUACCAUGAUUGUUUCUUGAGCAAACAAAAGCAAAGACAGUGUAGAGACGGGGUUUCACUAUGUUGGCCAAGCUGGUCUCAGACUCCUGACCUCGUGAUCUGCCCGCCUUGGCCUCCCAAAGUGCUGGGAUUACAGGAUUUUCUUCACCUUAUCUCCUCUAUGACUCUUCCUGCCUUCCCUCAUCAUUCUAGACCUCGCUGAUCACCUUCCACCAGGAACUAUACAAGACUUGGGGUCUGUUCUGUUCAAAAUUACAGAAACCCUAUUUUCUGCCUAUUAGUUAACUUAUGAAUACAUAUUAAGUAAUAAUGAAUUGAAAUAAAUGAAUAAUAAAUGUCUCAAUUUCUGUUAUA
rnacentral:lncRNA from 10 species